rnacentral:lncRNA from 1 species
UUCUUCGCCUGCUCUAUAGCGUGGUGGACCUGUCAGAGCCUGAAACGACACAUUUCUUAGUUUAAAGUUCUUUCAUUGUCCUCGGAGUUAUAUACUCUUCUGAUUGCUAGUGUCUCCUCUUCCUACAUUGUCCAGUCGCCAGCUUGGCUCUAAUGAUUAUUCGCCAUUCUCUGGCCCUCCACGUGAUAAUCUGACUUACCAUUCUGAUUUGGGUCUGAUUGUGUCUGUCUGACUCUUUACAAUCCUUACGAGUCACUCUCUUCUUAUUUUGUGUGUGUACACUCCCAGAAACCACACGUUGUCUUUGAAUACAAUAUUCAUUCAUCCAUCAGCCUACAGUCAGACCACGAGAAAUUUAAUUCAGG